ACAGAAGAAAGCACCGGCUAACUCCGUGCCAGCAGCCGCGGUAAUACGGAGGGUGCGAGCGUUAAUCGGAAUUACUGGGCGUAAAGCGCAUGCAGGUGGUUUGUUAAGUCAGAUGUGAAAGCCCGGGGCGUCAACCUCGGAAUAGCAUUUGUAAACUGGCAGACUAGAGUACUGUAGAGGGGGGUAGGAAUUUCAGGUGUAGCGGUGAAAUGCGUAGAGAUCUGAAGGAAUACCGGUGGCGAAGGCGGCCCCCUCGGACAGAUACUGACACUCAGAUGCGAAAGCGUGGGGAGCAAACAGGAUUAGAUACCCUGGUAG
rnacentral:rRNA from 1 species